UGCAAGGGGCUCAGCACCACAGGGUC
rnacentral:piRNA from 1 species